rnacentral:lncRNA from 1 species
CCAGGUUCUUGCAUUGCAGGCAGAUUCUUUACUAACUGAGCUAACCAGGGAAGCCCAAGAAAACUGGAGUGGUUAGCUUAUCUCUUCUCCAGGGUAUCUUUCUGGCCCAGGGUCUCCUGUAUUGCAGGCAGUUUUUUUGCCAGAUGAGCUUCCAGGAAAUCAGCAUGGGAUAGGAUAUGCAGUGACCAUACUGUAUACCCACCAGUUCACUGGUUAAUGUUGCUGUCUCUUUAAGUCAUCACCACUGGGCCCUCCCCUCCCUGAGCUUCUUGAACUCUGAGAAGCACAGAGACUUCCUUGUUGGUGGGGAGGAAACCAGUCACUGCACCCACAGCCAAGGGCAGGCAGCAGAUCAGGAGCUUCUUGGAUCUAACGUUAGAGCCUGUCACCAAUUCUGCAGGAAAGGAAGUUCCAAAGGGCAUACCCAAGAGUUCUGUGGAUUCCCUGUAGCACACUUUCUCAUUUCCUCCUGUGACGAGGACAUCUUGCUUCAGGUAAUCAUGGGAGG